rnacentral:tRNA from 1 species
GAGGGUAUAGCUCAGUGGUAGAUUGCAUGUUCAGCAUGCACAAAAUCCUGGGUUCAAUCCCCAGUACCUCCA